rnacentral:lncRNA from 1 species
UUUUUGGCAGUAUUUGGCAAAAGGAUAUUGAGCACAAAAGAUAUACUGCAAAAAGAUAUAAUUUGCAGUUUUGCACAAGUUUAGAUUCCUGUCUUGGCUCAACAUGAAAGCUAAGAAUACCUUGGCAUAACAUAACCACUAUUACAAAAUGCUAUCAAAGCUACAUUCCCUAAUUAACAUAUUCCUCUAAUUCCUUUUUCCUUUUGUCCACCGACCAUAACAUAGUAUUACUCACAUCCAAUAGUAUGAAAACAAUAGCAGAAGAAUGAGCUUCAACCACACUAAACUUUGGUCCUGCCUUGCCAAUGAAGGUGGAGCAUAAGAACCAACAGAUCCAGGUGAAGAAUAGUCACAAUUUCCAUAACCUAAAGAGAGAAAAAAAAAACACACACACAAAAAGGUUGAGUAUUAAGCACGGAUAAUAAAGCAUCCAUCAGUACUAUGUGCACUUAAUUUUCAGAAAGCACACCCACCAAUAAUGCUUCAAAUGAAAUCUUUGUCAUCAAGAAUAAUGCUUUUUCUUGUAGAAAAUAAGUAAGUAUAUAAUAAAAAUAGUUUCAAACAAUUGUACACCGAGUUCAAUUGUAUCGGAAGUGUAUUUGACAAAAUCACGGUGACUUUAUUGAAACUCUAAAGUGUAGCUUUUACAGAAUCACAUUGACGCAUUGUGAUUCUAUUAAACUAACUGCGAAACUAAACAUGAAAUUGUCUGAGCAGUGAUGAACACAUGUCUUUACCUCUUUCAACCCUCACCCAUAUCAAUAAAAGAACAAAGAUGAAAGGUAGAAGUUACUGAAAUCUUCUAAACAGUGAUAUAUAUAUUUCACCAAGAAGCAAGAAAUUCAGUAAGGAACACACAAUUGAUACUUAUUCUAUCGCGGAUCAUGUAAAUUGAAUGCUAAAACCGAUACACAUAAAUCAAUCAAUUAACUUCUCACCUGUGCAGUAGCGCCUUUUGGGGUCGAAAGUAAAACUUGAUCAAUUCCAUUUGAGUCCUUUGUAACUUCAGUUACCGGCCCAGAGUCCCUCACAGCUCCAGAGUCCCUCACUGCUCCAGAAUGCGCCAUUGUAAAUGAUUUAGGUCCUAUAUUUGAUCACUCUUUUAGCAAACUCUGAUAAGCUUAUUAAACUCGGUACACGCCAGUCC